rnacentral:rRNA from 1 species
AUGGAGAACGACAGGAACAACCAGGCUCCGCCACCACCCCCAGGUUACUACCCGUCGGCGGCUGCGGAGCAACGUCAAGCCGGUGGUGGCGGGAAGAAGUCACGCCGGGGGAGCACCAAAUCCAGGGGCGAGAAGGGAUUCGAAGGAUGGUACCCUGGCGGCACUCUGCUGCUGCUGGAUCUGCGAGAUGUGCCGCGACUAACCGGCCGGCGAGGUUCUGCGGAAGUAACCCUUGUGUUCGUGUGUGAUGUCCAUCACCACCAACCACCACAGCUGGAACCGAAAGGGGCCGCCUCCGACGGCUACAUGAUGCUACUCUGCCCCAACACCAUCCCUGUUGCAAACAUUGGGUGCAGCAGCCACCCUCCUGAUGCAUUCACGCCAUGGCCAGUAGUCGCCAUUGACACAAGCAGGCCAGAAUCUGACACCGGCAACACAAACGACAAGGUCGUAGCAAGGGCGGGGGAGGGCGACUCUGGCCAGCACCACUGUAAGCACCAUUGCUGCGACGUGCCAUCUCCCUCAACUCCGGUUGUCGUCACACGGCGGUGCAGCGUUGUAACGCAACCGGUGCUACCAGAGGAGGAGGCUGCGGUGAGCACAUCUGAUGCUGCUGCUUAUUGCAACAUCACCACAACAACUGUCAGGGUAGUCAUGCGGCUAAUCGGAACGUGUGUCGACGCAACUAUCUCAACUCCGACGAAAGCAGAGCCGACGCUGCAAUGGAACUUCGCCGGAGUUGCAAUGGAGUUCGCCGGACGCCAUCGGUGCUGCAUUGGAGCUCCGCCGAAGUUGCAAUGGAGCUUCGCCGGACAACGUCAGUGCUCCGUUGGAGCUCCUUCGGGGCUGCCAUGGAGCUUCGCCGGAUGA